GUACUGGUAUAGCAGCACAUAUAGUAAAAUAGGAAUGAGAAAACUAGCAUGGUCCCUGUACAACGAUGACACUCAAAAUUGUGAAGCAUUUAUAUUUGUA
rnacentral:snRNA from 1 species